UCUCCUCGGCACCGGCGGCUCGGCCCCGCAGGCCCGCGGCGGAGGUGCCUUCCCCGGCAGGUUUUCAGGAACCUUAUGCUCAUAAAUAAAACAAUAGAAAAAUGACAUUAAGGAAAGUGAACAUUUCCAUCCUUAUUGUGGCUGUUGUAAUAUUUUUGCUAGUUCUUCAUCAUAACUUCCUAAGCCUCAGUGACUUCUUGAAACGGGAGUUAUCAGAUUCAAGUCCCUUAGGACUUCAGCCUAUAGAUUUCAUUCCUGCAGCUCCCCAGAGGCUGAUAGAUGAGAGGAAUGAUAAGGAGAUUUCUGUGGUCAUUGCAGCGUCAGAUGAGAGGCUUGGGGGUGCAAUUGCAGCCAUGAACAGCAUUUACCAUCACACCAGAUCCAACGUGGUUUUCCAUAUUGUUACUCUGAAUGAUACAGUGGAUCACUUGAGGCUGUGGCUAAGUGGCACUGCUCUGAAAAACAUGAGAUACCGAAUUUUGGAUUUUGACCCUCGUGUCUUAGAAGGGAAAGUACAAGUGGAUCCCCAAAAAGCAGACACCUUCAAACCAUUAACCUUUGCAAGAUUCUACUUGCCCAACUUGGUACCUCAUGCAGAGAAGGUCAUCUAUGUGGAUGAUGAUGUAAUAGUGCAAGAUGAUAUUCUUGAACUUUACAACACUCCAUUGAAACCUGGACAUGCAGCUGCAUUUUCAGAUGAUUGUGACUCAACCACUAGCAAAGUUGCUGUCCGUGGAGCAGGCAAUCAGUAUAAUUACAUUGGCUUUCUAGAUUACAAAAAAGAAACCAUCCGAAAGCUCGCCAUGAAAGCCAACACUUGCUCUUUCAAUCCGGGAGUUUUCGUUGCCAAUUUGACGGAAUGGAAACUACAGAACAUCACUAAGCAACUGGAGAAGUGGAUGGCACUUAAUGUCCUAGAGGAGCUUUACAGUAAGACUCUGGCUGGCAGCAUCACAACACCUCCACUGCUAAUUGUAUUUUACAAGCAACAUUCCAGUAUUGAUCCCAUGUGGAACGUCCGACAUCUCGGGUCUAGUGCUGGAAAAAGGUACUCUCCUCAGUUUGUGAAAGCUGCCAAGCUGCUCCAUUGGAAUGGACAUUUCAAACCUUGGGGAAGAACAGCUUCCUAUGCUGAAGUCUGGGAGAAGUGGUAUGUCCCUGACCCUACAGGCAAGUUCAACCUGAUCCGCAGACACUCGGAAGCCUAUGAAGCAAAGUAGGGCCAAUGUUGGUAACUGAUGGUGCUUUCUCAGGAAACUUUUUUGGAGCCAAGCAGAACAUUUCUUUUUUUAGCCAACAUGUAUUACAGAGCCAUCCUUGCCUUCUGGAGCACGAGGUGAUGCACUUGUUCAGGUGCAGUUCUGAAAUGCACAGGUCCAAAGGAGGCUCAUGUCACCUGCAUGACAGAAGGUGCUGCUCCAGCAGCACUACAGAAAGCAAGGGAGGAUCUCCACAAACAGGCACUUUUGUUUAGAUCAUUUCAGUUGUGUUCUUCUGUUUACUAUGAGUCUUGUAGCAGAGGAUCAUUUUAUCAGUUACAGAAACGUUUCUAAGAACAAGAUACAAAUUCAUUCGGUGCUUGCACCACGCAAAUCUUGCACAUCAGUGUACUGUAAUUAAGAGUUGCUUGGGUUCUGGGUUUGUUUUUUGUUGUUUUGUUUUGUUAUUCUGUGAAAUAGUUCCCUCAACAACCCUUUCAUGCAUGAAAUCUCCCAACCAUUUCUGUGUAAGUCUUUCUUGCAGAAUUCUACAAAAUUGAAUCUUUUGUGAAAGAUGAAUUCUUCAAGUUUUAUUUCACUAUGCAAAGUGGUUUUAACUGCCAGUGAACACUAAAACAUGUUUUGUAAAGUGGUGGAUGAAACCUUGUUCAAAAAUAAAGCUAAUUGUAACAUGUUGACUCAAGCCUCGGGUAAAUGGCUGCCCAUCAUCAGUGCUACAGACCCUGAGGAUGAUGUGGAUGUCCCCUUGUACAGUUGGUUAGAAACACACUGCUCAGGCAACUGACUUGGAACAAUGUUGUGUCCUUAACUGAGGAAAACAGCCCAACCCUUACCUGGAGGAGAAAGGCUUUUUGAUUACAACCAGUGUCUCCAGUGCCUCACUUCACAAGACACUGACUGGGUUCUUGGUGUCAGGAUCUAAACAGAGCAAAUGACAGCUUGCUCCAGCUGAGGACACCGGCAGCCCAUCGGAUCUCUCGCAUCUAAAACCUCCAGAACCACAUCUGAGGCCUCAAGCACCUGGGUUAGAAACAAGACAAGACUCUCAAAUAAGGCAUCACACACCAAAUGACAACAAAAGUUACUGCGUUGUAAACGCUCUCUGUUGUAAAAUCCCGUAAGUGUUGAUGUUUAUCACAGACAACCUUUAUACUCUCCAGCAGCUGCACAGGAAUGCCAAAGAAAGGAAAAUAACAAGUGGUCUCAUUGCUGACUCUCAUCAAAUUAUAUAAAGAUAGCUGAAGCACUUCA